GAAGCAAAGGUAGUAUGCCACAGGAGGGGCAAGUCUUCCACUAACAUCACAAGAUCUCUGGCCCAAUGAGUGGAGUUUGAUAGUAAUUCUUGCUACUAAU
ensembl:snoRNA SNORA62 Small nucleolar RNA SNORA62/SNORA6 family